GGUUAAGCGACUAAGCGUACACGGUGGAUGCCCUGGCAGUCAGAGGCGAUGAAGGACGUGCUAAUCUGCGAAAAGCGUCGGUAAGGUGAUAUGAACCGUUACAGCCGGCGAUGUCCGAAUGGGGAAACCCAGUGCAAUUCGUUGCACUAUCGUUAACUGAAUACAUAGGUUAACGAGGCGAACCGGGGGAACUGAAACAUCUAAGUACCCCGAGGAAAAGAAAUCAACCGAGAUUCCCCCAGU
rnacentral:rRNA from 1 species